rnacentral:lncRNA from 1 species
CACUUCAUAAUAUACGGGAGUUUUUGUUUUUGCUUUGCUUUGAGAUAGCUACCUGAGCAGCCAAAGACUCUAGUUUUAGAGCAUGCUUAAUAAGGAGCAUUCAGUUCACUGGUUACAUAAAUCCUGGUCGUGGCUUUGUUCAUGCAAGUAGCAGACGCAUUAAGAGACUCUCUUGAAGCUGGUCAAAGAGCAUUGUAGCGGAGCAUUGUUGAUGGUGAGCCUAGUUGCAUGAAGGACCAUUUUCCUCUUGAGAUGUCAGUCGAGGAGAAGCUAAUAUUAUAGGACAGGUAACCUGCAGUGAAACACAGGACAGAACACAAAGUUAAAGCAUGCUUAUGGCAGAUGAAUUUAGGAACAACACAUGAGAACAUAUCUGGGUUGUACCUAUAGGUAAUUAAUCUCUGCAUAGCUGGCGCAGAGUAGUCACUGCCUUGAUUUCUUUAAUAUGCCUUCCAGUAGUAGAGCUCCUUUUUUAGAAGUUAUUCUGGUUAGAGAUGAACAAUCGCUAUGUCUAUUUAGGCUUAAAAAUGCAGAGGUAGACACACAGUAUAAGAAUUGGCACCUUUUGUUUUCGGUCUUGGUCAUCUAACACUGGUCAGCCUUAUCAUUCUUUCCUUCAACAGUUGCUGAAAUAGCUUCAGCCUUAUCAUCAGACUACUCCUGUUGCACCUAGAAAACCAAGUGGUUUGGUAACAGAGCAAGAUGAGAUAUUAAUAUCCAAAGGACUGGCUCGAGCACGUUUUAGCUCACUCAAUCAGCUAGACAGCUUCGAAUAGAAUUUCUUUAUGUCCAUCUAUAUAUUUGUAUCUCCGUAAAACAUGCCACACUAGGUUUUCUUAUCCAAAGGACUGGCUCGAGCACGUUUUAGCUCACUCAAUCAGCUAGACAGCUUCGAAUAGAAUUUCUUUAUGUCCAUCUAUAUAUUUGUAUCUCCGUAAAACAUGCCACACUAGGUUUUCUUCCUCAUGUGAGAUAAGAAUUUGAUUGUACAAUUGUGCAAUCGAGAACGGCAUGAGAGAAAGCUAUAUCAACACAGCAACUAUCUUUUGCUGUACAAUUGAGUUGCUUUCAUAUGAGAUCUAAAAUAUGUGCAUUCACAUGUGUUUAUAUGAGUUGUAGAAAGAAACUUUACCUAAGAAGAAGGACCCAAUAAUCAUAUUUUCACAAAAGCACAAUUAGGGAUUACAGAGGAUUUUACCCUUGAAGCGGACAUGUUCUUUGGUUCGCUCUUUGCUUCUCAGGGAAUACACUAAGCAUCUCCUUAGCUUCCUGUUGCUCGCCUUGCAGGGCAUCACUGGUGUACUUUCCCGACCGCUCCUUCUUCUCUAGCACCAUUCACUUCAAUCUACUUCUCAUCAGUGAGCAGCACAUGUGAGACAAACUCUCUCAUCAUUUUCAGUGAUUGUUCCAAUAGAAUCCUGCGUGCACAAUUAUACAAAAGAGUCAAUGUAACCACAAUAUUACACGGCAAAGGGGAUUGAACUUAAUAAUAACUGAUAACCCACCAACUUGCAACCUUCAAAAUCCAGCUUCAGCUGCAGCCUCUGUACACUUUGCUUGAAGUUAUCUUGCAUACUCACUUCCUGAAACAAGCCUAAAAUGGUCACCAGAAGAUAAUAAUUGUGAGCAUUUGUAUCUUUUUCUGUCGCAAGCUUGGCAGUGUUUUUCCUAGGCUUGCUACAUGCCCAAGAACAUAGAACAACACGUACUUCCAUAAUUCAGAUUGAAUUUGUUUAUCCUGAUAGUCUUUUAGAUCUCUGAAAAACCGUGGAACUGUAAACAGUCAGAUCAAGUAACUGUCUUCUCCUAAUUCCAUAGCGAGGUGAUCCAAUUCGUUUGGACAGUCAGACAACAAAUUCUGUAUAACAAUAAAGAUCUUAGGGCCUUUAGGUGUUUGUUCUGUUGAUCUAUAGAUGCAGUGAGAUUCCUCAGGGGAACAUCCAACUUUGAAGCACGGUCAGUUCUAAAAAUUAGAUUCACCACCGGCCUAGUUGCAGCACCUAGCUUUAUCUCCUCUUGCUAUUUCUGAAUGCAGUGUUGUAUUACUACGACUACCGUUUAGAUUGGCCGAAACAAAGAAAAGCUAAGAACCAGACUAAAAUAUAAAAUUAUCAUGUGUUUUUAGGCAAAGAUAAACAUGAACAUCAGAUACCAAUCUUAACUCAUAUUUUUCUGUCUGGAAUCAAAAAUUGAACCAGGCUGAAUGACAAGUAGUUUCAUUUACAUUUACAAAUCAAUAAAGAAAAGAAAAGAAAAACAUAGCCAUAAGAAAGAAGAAAAUACAAGAUGUGUACGUGUUUCAUUUACGUUUACAAAUAAAAAAAUUGUAGGACAGUAAUUUGCUAAGGGCAGAAAAAACAUGACAGCAGAAGAAGCAACAAAAUUUAUACAUGGCAGAGGUGCAAAUUUAGUGAGCAUUGGCAACUAACCAGGUAAUGGAGGGAACAUGCUUCCUCUUCUCCAUUGAAUCCAUCACCGUACGGCUAGGUGAGGAGCCACCGCUUGCAUCUUCCGCCUUCGUUGGGCGAGAGGAGAGGAAGCGCACAUCAAUUUCGUCUGUCUUAUUCACCGAGCGAUGCCGGGCGAGGGGGUGAAUGGAUCCGACCUUCCCUAAUGAGAGCAGAGUAGCAGGGAAGGGGGGACGAACUCCGGAGGCGCUCCGGGCACCGCGAAGCUGGUCGGCUGCGCGGACAUAAACGGCGGCGACUACGCACCCGGUCCAGAGAAAGGAAGGAGAAGAGGAGGCGGGCGGCGCGAGAGGAGCCUCAUGGUCGAGGGAGAAGAGGAGGCGGCUGGGAGAGGACGCCCGAACCGUCUUACGUCUAGUGUUCUGGGCGGUUUAAAGUGGACGACGCUGAUGUGCGGGACCAGAAGGGAACAGGGGCCACCAGCCAGAGGGCGAAACAUGGAGCGAUGGUCA